rnacentral:rRNA from 1 species
CUAAGAAUAUUCCGCAAUGGGGGGAAACCCUGACGGGGCGACGCCGCGUGGAUGAUGAAGGCCGGAAGGUUGUAAAGUCCUUUUGGGCGCAAAGAAUAAGUACGCGAGGAAAUGCGCGUGCGGUGACGGUAGCGCCUGAAUAAGCAACGGCUAAUUACGUGCCAGCAGCCGCGGUAACACGUAAGUUGCGAGCGUUGUUCGGAAUUAUUGGGCGUAAAGGGCAUGUAGGCGGUCGUGCAAGCUUGGUGUGAAAUCCCGGGGCUUAACUCCGGGACUGCGUUGAGAACUGCACGGCUAGAGUAACUGAGGGGCAGCCGGAAUUCCAGGUGUAGGGGUGAAAUGCGUAGAUAUUAGGAGGAACACCAGUGGCGAAGGCGGAUUGCUGGACGACAACUGACGGUGAGGCGCGAAAGCGUGGGGAGCAAACAGGAUUAGAUACCCUGGUAGU